rnacentral:rRNA from 1 species
UACGAAGGAUGCGAGCGUUAUCCGGAUUUAUUGGGUUUAAAGGGAGCGUAGGCGGUCUUAUAAGUCAGUGGUGAAAUCCUAUCGCUUAACGAUAGACGUGCCAUUGAUACUGUAGGACUUGAGUACAGAUGCCGUUGGCGGAAUGUGUCAUGUAGCGGUGAAAUGCAUAGAUAUGACACAGAACACCGAUUGCGAAGGCAGCUGACGAAACUGUAACUGACGCUGAGGCUCGAAAAGCGUGGGGAUCAAACAGG